GACGUAGGUGACGAACGUUAUCCGGAAUCAUUGGGCGUAAAGGGUGCGUAGAUGGCAUGAUAAGUUAUUAGUGGGAAAUCGAGGCUCAACCUCGUGGAAGCUAGUAAUACUGUUUUGCUUGAGUACAGAAGAGGUUAACGGAACUCCAUGUGGAGCGGUAAAAUGCGUAGAUAUAUGGAAGAACACCAAUAACGGCGAAGGCAGUUAACUAUUCUGUUACUGACAUUGAGGCACGAAAGCGUGGGGAGCAAAACGG
rnacentral:rRNA from 1 species